UGAAUCAUAUGUCUCCUAUUAUUGCUGC
rnacentral:sRNA from 1 species